GCAUACGUCUACGGGAGAAAGCAGGGGACCUUCGGGCCUUGCGCUAUCAGAUGAGCCUAGGUCGGAUUAGCUAGUUGGUGGGGUAAUGGCUCACCAAGGCGACGAUCCGUAACUGGUCUGAGAGGAUGAUCAGUCACACUGGAACUGAGACACGGUCCAGACUCCUACGGGAGGCAGCAGUGGGGAAUAUUGGACAAUGGGCGAAAGCCUGAUCCAGCCAUGCCGCGUGUGUGAAGAAGGUCUUCGGAUUGUAAAGCACUUUAAGUUGGGAGGAAGGGUUGUAGAUUAAUACUCUGCAAUUUUGACGUUACCGACAGA
rnacentral:rRNA from 1 species